UACGAAGGGGGCUAGCGUUGUUCGGAUUUACUGGGCGUAAAGGGUGCGUAGGUGGCGCUGUAAGUCGGGUGUGAAAUUUCGGAGCUUAACUCCGAAACUGCAUUCGAUACUGCGGUGCUUGAGGGCUGGAGAGGAGACUGGAAUUCAUGGUGUAGCAGUGAAAUGCGUAGAGAUCAUGAGGAAGACCAGUGGCGAAGGCGGGUCUCUGGACAGUUCCUGACACUGAGGCACGAAGGCCAGGGGAGCAAACGGG
rnacentral:rRNA from 1 species